rnacentral:lncRNA from 1 species
UUCUUGGAGGGGAAGGAGAAAGUUUUUAUAUUUAAGAAUAUAUAGUCAGCAAAAUUAUAUUUUUACCUAAAGUUCUCAUACCUAUAAGGAAAGAAGGUAGGUAUAUUUUCUGAAGAAUUAUUAAUAUCAAUCAGGUAAAAGAGGAAAAUCACUAAAGGCUUACCAAAGGGCAAUUAUUGAUACAAAGACAAAAGAGAAUUGUUCCUGCUUUCAAAUGGCUUACAUUCUAAAAAGGGUGACAAUAUGCAUAUAUACAAAGUACACAUAUAGGUAUAUGUAGAGAGUAAAUGCUGCCAGAAUCAGUGUGGUCUCCACUUUUUAUUUGGGGUUGGAAUUUAUCCCCUCACUUUUUGGCAUUAUGAAUAGGUUAAGUGGUACAUAUAAUGGAUUUAAACUAUGAUAGGAGACAAUUUAGAAGUAACUUCAGAUAUUAUCAAGUCCCAUAUUCUCCCUGUUACAUCUUCAAAGUUUUUGGUUUGUAAAAGUAACAUUAAUGUUAAAUAGACAACAAUUAAGGGAAAUCUUAGAGGUCACUAAUAUUGCCAAAAACAUUCUAUUUCAAUUUUGUUGAGCAUUUCUAUGUUCACUGUAAUACAUUCUGAGGCAGGUGAACUUCUGAAAGCUUCUUGUCAAUAUAACCAUCUUUCCUUACACAGCAGUCUGAGUUUGAAGUGUGAUCUUUACAAAGAAGUUUUACCAUCUUAGGUCAUUAGGAAAAGCUUAAGUUGUGCAGUGCCAAACUGUAUGGCAUGUUUUCUCUUUCCAAAUUAGUCCCUGGAAAGCAAGAAGGCAUCUCGCUCUGUGACCAUCAUGGCUGUUUUGCCUCUCUGUGGUGCUAUGGAAGAAAAGGAGGUGGCGGGACUAUAUCCUUACACAGCGCAUUGCACCACCAUAAAACCCAGAGCAGGAGGAUCGGCCUGGGACAGAGUUAACAGCUUGCUUCCUGCUCCCUCGGAAAACACAAGGGUCUGUCGGCACGGUCUGUCACCUCGCCGCCUGACUUUCUGUGCACGGUUUGCAUGUCAGAGCACUCCUGCAGGUCACCCAGGUAGCAGAUUCUCAGCCGAGUUCAGCAGACAAUCCCCAGACUUCCUAAGUAUCCUUUCCCCAUUAUUACGUCUGCUAUAGCAAACUGAAGUGCCCUCUGGCUUAGCUGGGGAAGUGGCGGAAGCUGAAGCCAGCUCACCAAACAAUUGCCUUGUCCCCCAGACUAUAUCCCCUGCCUGCCAGGGAGGUUCACGAGAGUGUUGGCAAGGGUGGACAGGGGAGAGUACUGGGACAAAGCCAGAGCUUUGAGACCAAGUCCCUUCCCGCCAGCCCCCAAAUGAAAAGACUCAGUGAAGCCAGCAAUAGGUCCCUCUGUGUAACACCCACGAUGAUGGGAACCACUGAGAGAAGAGGCAACUUGCCAAAAAAGAGUUUAGAGAUCUGCAGUAGCUGAGCAAGUCCCCAGGUUCGAGGCACUGGUCAGUGUUGCAGUUAAAAAGUCCUUCCAAGGAGCAAGGCAUAGAUAGGGGAGAAUGGGCACAACUAGAAUCUACUUUGGAAAUGAAAUCUUUCCCAUAAACCUUCAUGCAUUGCUUGGGUUUAUUAUCAGUGUUUAUUUUCCCCCAAAAGUUAAAAAUAAGUCAAGCUAUUUUCUUUGGCCAUUGAAUUGUUGCAAAACUGUAAAACAAAUAUUCUACUUUGAUCCCGACAGUCAUAAAAUUAAAUGGUUGUUUGUAGCGGGAAAUAUGUCUUAAUUAUUUUAAUUAAAGCAAGGUUGGACUCUACAUACAUUCAUUUAGGAGCCACCAAAUGCCCUGUAUAUCAUACAAAUCAACCUUUAAAUGGGGUCAUGCUUUUCCACUACAUUAGCCCGGGUUCCACUAUAUAAAUCUGGGCUACAUGUGAGCCUGGCGUUUAGGAAAAAUGAUGUGCCCAAGUUCAGCAUAAUUGCUAACUUGAUAUGGCAGAACUUUAGAAAAGACUCUUAAAAGUCCACACGGGAUUUUGAAUACAAAGGCAAUCUUUUCACAUCUAGCUAGUGCUUCUACUUGCUGCUAUUGAUUGAGGCGCAUUUCUGGGUUUAGAAACCACUACAUUAUCCUUCCCUAAUCAUGUGACACUCAUAAUUAGUCGCCUUUCUGGAGUACCUUUAAAGUGUGGCAUCUGCUCCACAAAUGGGAUUUAGUAAGAAGUUUGCUGAAGGCUUAAACUGUUUGUAAGGAUUUGCAAACUUGAACUGGGACAAAAAAAAAUCUAGCAAUAGUUUUACAGAGUUAACAACAAGCCUGUCACAUAAAAAAGCUUCAAGUCGUCAGAGCACGAGUCUCUGAUCUAUCUGUCUUAUGGGCACAACUGAAACUUGCCAGGCAGACACCAAGUUUUUGCAUAGAAUAAGAUUUUAGUUAAGUUCCCUCUUUCUGGGUGUCUUUCCAAGGAAAUAAAAAUCUUGCAAAUAAGGCUGAUAUUAAAAUA